rnacentral:lncRNA from 1 species
AGGGGUGAGGUAAGGGUAGAGUCACAAGAGGGAGGGUGAGGGCGGUGGAGGAGGAAAAACUAAGGGAGAUGGUGAGGGAAACAAAAUAGGAGGAGGACAGUGGCAGAGGAGGAGGGAGGGGCUAACCAUAUGUAUAAGGGUUUGAGGAAUGAGGGAAAGAAUGAGCUUAUAAUGAAUAUGAGGAGGAGAAAUUAAUGAAAAUUAAAGUCAAUCAAGUCGACGCUAAUCCUGAAGCCUCGCAAAAAUGAUUGUACCCUGACAUGUCAAAGUCAAUCCCAACCGAGGUUAAGUUUACUGGUGAAUGUGCCAGCUCAAAACUGCUGCUAAUUGUCGGCAGACGCACGCUACGCUUGUCAGUUAUUUUAGUGUCUGUCAUGAUAGACGCUAAAUGUUAGUUAGCCUCUACAAUUAAACACUGGUCAACUAACGCUAAAUCAAAAUAAGGACUUUAAAAAAAAUUCCAUUGACUUUCAAUCAGUUCUAUCAUCACUAACUUUCCAAAUUUAAUGUGGGUGUCGUGGCCAACAUUAAUUUUGAAUGCUAAAAUAAUCUUCUCUUAUCGUGUAAAGUUGGGUUUUUCUUUAUUUUGGUCCAUCGUAAAAAUAAGCUACUUCCUCUAAGAAUUGAUCUCUGGAACUUCUUAUCUCAUUUCAUAUGUCCCUGCGCUCUUACUUUUUUUUGGUACAAAACAGCUAAAAGAAAAAGAAAACGACUAUAACACUAGAUCCUUAAGAAGGAAGUUCCACGGUAGUCCUCCGCCAACAAAGGAAGAGUAUCCAAGGGAGGCUCUUCAAGACACUGGAAGCGACCAUCCAUGCGAGCACUCUCCUUCGCCAAGAGAUCCGCCACCGCAUUCCCUUCACGAAGAAUGUGUUCAAAUCUGACUAGCCACUCACGACCCAAAAUGUCCAUGAUGAGUCCCAGAACAGGAGCAUAAAUAUGGAAACGACCACACCCUUUCUGCACAAGGGAGAGGGCAUGCUGCGAAUCAGAGAAAACUACGACUCUACGGCAACCACGGUCCCAACACAACCUUAGCCCAUACAAAAUAGCAAGAAGCUCCGCCUUCAAGAUCUCAGAAAUUCCAACGAAAGCUGAGAAACCAAAGCACCACACCCCCGCCAAGUCACGGACCACACCACCUGCCCCAACACGGCUCGGGUUCCCCAAAGAGGACCCAUCAACAUUCAGAGCUAACCACCCUUCAGGGGGCGCUCGCCACCGCACCCACCAGGGAUCAACCGCACCGCCAGGAGACGCGCGCAACACCUUCAACAUACUCACUGCAUGAUGCAAAACCAGCUGCCUAGGCUCCGAGCCUUGCCCAAGAACCAAGCUACAACGGCGACACCACAAAAACCAGGCAUGGAUGAGCAGGGAUGGCGCAUCCGAGCGCGACACACAAUUGAGCCAAUCUUGGAACGAAGCAACAGUAAAGAAACCGGGAGCAAGAGAAAAAGCAAGGUUAUUCCAAACAGGGAUAGAAUCCACACAAUCCCGCAGGCAGUGUAGGUGAGUUUCCGGGGCACCAUGGCAACGACGACAGACAGUAGACGUGGGAGCACCGCGCUGCGCAAGCACGGCUAACACGGGGAAAGAAUCAUGCAGAACUUGCCAAAUGAAGAGGCGAACUUUCUCCGGGACGGCAGCUCGCCAAAUCCAACCCCAAGGCACCGUAGGCAGUUGCUCCGUGCGCUGGGUCAUCAAACAAUCAUAGUACCCUGCCACGGUAUAUACCCCAUCAGUCGAAGCAGCCCACACCCGGAGGUCAGGAACUGUCUGGUUCGUGAACACACAAAGGGACAACAACUUAUGGGAGAACUCGUGGGUCAAAGGCGUGGCUAAGCGGCGCAGCUCGCAAACAUCAUCUUUGGAACACGUCACACACUCCAAGAGCGGAAUCAGAGAUAUGCACAUAAGGCACUAACAAGCACAAAGGCCCAAGGGAACACCAAAUCCUCAAACCUGAAGGGUCGAGGGCCUCUCUCACGAGGAAGUAAAGCACAACGAACCAGCAAAGGGUGGUGGUCAGAGUAACGCCGAGCAAGCACCGAGGCACCACCUUUCGAGAACAAGGUUCUCCACGCAAUAUCCACAAAACACCAGUCAAGCUUCUUCAGGAGAAGCGGCUCGCCCGCACGCUUCCGAGCCCAAGUAUAACGGUAGCCAUUGGGGUGAAUAUCCAUCAAGUUGCAAUCAUCUAUCAUGGCUGCCAUUUUAUCCGCUCGAGCCAUAGCAAAAGCACCACGAUUCUGGUCUGAGGGGAGGAGGUUCUCGUUGAAGUCACCCACCAUCAUCCACGGGUCCUGAAUACCCCGGUGAAGGCCUCGAAGAUAGUCCCAACCAAGGGCUCUGGCGGCUGGCACGGGGCUGGCGUACACACCGGUGCAACACCAAGUCGAGGAAACAACAGCGACUCUGAUCGUGACAGCAUGCCACUAAGACUCAACUACAGAGAAACUGAAAGUUGUUCUCUCCUGCUUCAGACACCAAAUGCCACCGGAGUGACCUCGCACCUCCUCAAUUGUCACCGGGACGUACCCCUGGGACUUCCAAAACAUGGCUACCUCGCUGAACAUGACUUUCGUCUCAAACAGAAAAAUGAGAGUUGGUUGAUUAAAUCUCAGAAUCUCUCAAAUGUGUCUCCUAGCUGACGCAUUCGCUGCACCCCUAAUGUUCCAAGCAAGGACAGAGAAAUCACGGAACUCUAUCAUUGACAAGAUGAAGCAAAAGGGGACGGGGCCAGCACCAUUAACAGUGUCCCCCACCGCUGGCAGUGGCAUCGGGUGGCUUCUCCUUCAGGUUCAGGUCUUCAUCGAUGGUUCCUUGGACCAUCAUCUCCUCCACAGAGGUCGGGUUUUCCUCUGUGGACGCAAGCGCAGCACUUCCUUAGAAGAGCUGGCGGGAAGCUAACGUCCUUGGCGUAUUGGACUUAGCCGUCCCUGUUCCUGGACGCAGGAGGGUAGGGGGUGUCAUGAUGACGAUCCCAGCACCACCAUGCCGCCGUUUGGAAGGAGUAUGGAGCGCCGGCGGCGAGCUACGUCCCGUCGAGAAAGGGAGGUGCGAAGUUCCCGCCAAAGCAUCAGGACUUUCCUUCCCAGUCGCACGUUUCUGAUUCGCAUUCAUGGCUGGUGAUUGAGGCUCCUUGAAUUUCGCCUUGGACGUAGCAAGCGGUUUCUGUUUCUGCCGAGAAGGUGCCUUUGAAUUUGAAUUCAAAUUAGCUCGUGAUUUAUUGCCUUUGACCUGGGUCCAGCCAUCAUUAUCUUGUGAUUUGUGGGCCCCUUGUGUUACCUUCGAGCUAGGGUUUGCAUGGCCAGCACUAACCGCCGCCUUCCCUGCAUGCACAUCCUUCUGUGACGCCGCCUUCCCUGCAUGCACACCCUGCUGCGACGUUACCGAAUGAUUUUGGGAGAUGCAAUUGCGGCUAAGGUGGCCGUAACAGCCACAAUGAUCACAAAUAAUGUGAAUGCCUUCAUAUUCCACACGGAUCCAUUGAUUGCGGAACCAGAUUCUCUUAGCCACGGGCUGACUAAGGUCGAUCUCCACGCACACUCGAGCAUAGCGACCUCGAUUCAUCUGAGUCGUGUGAGCAUCCACCUUGAGCGGCUUCCCCACCGACGUUGCUAGCGCGAACAGCAGGCUCUCGUCGCAGUAAGCCGGAUUGAGGCCAGGGAACCGGAUCCAGACUAAGGUCUUCAAAACCAGUGAUUCUGACGUAACCAGAUCUGGACUCCAUAAGGACACAGCCAAGCAUCUGUCAAAAAUCAUCCAUGGCCCCCCUUUAAGCACACUCUUCUUAUCAUCAGCCUGAUCAAACUUGACCAUGAAUACACCAUGAUCAAUAUCCAUGAUUUCAAACCCACCCUUGGGUUUCCACAGACCCUGCAGCUUCUUCCUCAUGAGGGUGUACCCCAAGUUUUUACCAAGAACUUUGAUAACCAGCGCCUCCCUCCAUGGGAUACUCAGGUUCUCAAUCACAAAAUCCGCAACAAACACCCUAGGCAAGUGUUUGUUACCUUCCUCAAACUCCACACGGGCCAGUUUGUGAGCAAUGAGGUCAACUCGAUCCCGCACCGACACCAGUCUCUCCUCCACCCUUCCCAGAACCAUGUCUCUGAAGGAUGGCUUCACAACGCCACCCUCCUUCCCACCCACCCCAACAUCGCCCCCUUCCGGCGGCUUCGCCGGCGAAACCAUGAUGUGAAGAACACUCCGAUCACUCUCUCUCUCUCUUCCCGUUUAGAUAUAAUAAUUGGUGUUUAUUAACUGAUUAUAAUAUAAAGGUAUCCCCGCGCUCUUACUACUUGGGUUUAUCGGAUUUUCUAUGAAAUUUAAACAAUUUUUAAAAUAUAAUAUUUUGUAUAGAUUGAUACGGUGACAGUGGGGGUUCUUUACGUCUCUGCUGGAUAUUUGUUAUGCUAAGGAAUUCGAAUAAUGAAGAUCACGAAAUGCUGACUAUCUCUAUUAUGCUACGAUAGUGAUUCAGUGCAUCCUUCUCCACUUUCUUUUCAAUCGGAUAAUUAUACCAAAAGCAUUUCUGCACUUCUGUUCUGCCUAACAAAUCAAGCAUCUAAUAACCAAAAAGCAAAUGUCUAACUAGAUUAUGUUUGGUGUGCACUGUAAGUAUAAUAUUUUAUGCAGGAUUUUUCUUGAUUCAAUAUUUAUUAAUAUCUUGGUGUGUCAUUAUUUAUAUAGUAUGGAGAAAAGCACAUCAAUGGGCUCCUAAACUAGACUUUUUUUAUAAACAGACACCAUCAAGUUUAUUUUAUUUCCAAUUGAUCCUUAAAUUAUUACAUAUUAUUUUAUAAACUUGUUUUUUUGUCUGAAAUUAAUUAAUUAAGUAAUUAACCACAAAUGAACUAAAGACUUUAAAUAAUAAAGAAAUAGCUUUUACAAUGGAAAGAAUAAGACAUCAACACACCUUAAAAGUGCGAUACGAUUCGCAACAAAUGGGUCGGUUCAAGUACGUACCAGAUCGCGGCGACACUCAAAUGGGGUGGUGGUUGGGCGCGGCUGCAAUGUCAUCGCCGAAGCACUCUGGGCGGCGAUGGCGGUCACGGUGUUGGAGGUGAUUGAAUGAAGAUGUUGAGGAAAAUGAAGGUGAGGAUGAGGAUGAAGAUGAAGAUGCAGAGGAAGAUGAUGAAUGUAGAUGAAAUGGGUUUGGGGGGUUUGGAGAAGUUUUAAUGGAGGUAGUUUUUGAAAUGAAAUGGAAAAUAAGUGGGAAGAAGUAGGGUAGUGGGGGGUUUUGGGAAGUUAUUUAAAAAAUGGGUAUUUAAGACUUUACACACAUUAAUAGGGGGUCUGAUUAGAUGUGUGAGGACUCAAUAAUGACUCUCAUCUAAGAAACAUUAUAGAUAUAACUUUUAUAAUCGAUCGUUUUUCAAAAGAAUAAACUUUUAAUAAAAUAUUAACUAAUAAAAAAGUAAAUAUGUUGACUUUUUGAAAGAGCAUGAUAUUAGCUUUUCCUCAUCCAAACACCUAAUUAAUACCAUAAAGAGUUAUUUCAUAUUUAUAUAGAUUUUUUUUAAAGGUAUAUAGAUUUCGUAUGCGUUUGAGUUGUGUACACAGUCAGGGACGUAUCCAUGUGAGGUGUUAUGAGGGCACUUGCCCUCACUUAAAUUUUGUAAAAACAUUAGAAAAAAAAAUUGAGUAGUAAAAGUAUAUGAUUUUUUUUUGCCCCUUUGAUAAAAAAUGUUCUCACUUAUGUCUCACAUUGUUAAAUGCCCUCACUUAUGUCUCACAUUGCUAAAUACCCUCACUUAAGUAGUAAAAGUAUAUGGUUUUUCAUAGCUCCUUUGAUAAAAAGUGCUCUCACUUGUGUUCCUUUAGGUAAAACAAAUUCAUCACUUCUAAUUAUGUUAAUUUUUUUGUUGUUACGAAUUUGUAUGAAUAUUUUGCCCUCACUACAUCAAUUUUCUGGAUCCGUCACUGUACACAGUUACUUGUAAUCAUAAUCUUUCUAGAAAAGUCCUGUUAAAAGUGACAUUUUCCAAACGGAAAAUAUUACUUGUAAGCAGUGUUAUUAAACUCGGCCCGGUGAUCGACUUGGUCGGGGCACUGGAUCAAUGGGUCAUUGGUCUGACCACUGGGUCACUGGUUGAACCGUUUGACUCGGUUUGCACUAAAAAAAUUUAUAAUACCAUAACAAAAUAUUACAAAUAUCAUACACACAAAAUAACAAGAAAUGUUUUACCACAACAAAAUUUAAAAAUUUAUUUUAACCCUAUCAAUUCAUGUGCUUCUUAACAAAAAAAAAUUCCUAUUAAUAAUAUAAAUCUUGAUUUUUUUUUUAAGUACAUAAUGUAAAUCUCAAACACGCACUGUUUUUAAAUACAUAAUGUAAAUCUUUAUGGCUUUAUACAUGAUAUUUUUAUGGAAUAUGAAUUAAAAUGUAUAAAGUGUAUGCAUUUUUAGUGAUUUAAAAGUUAAAACACGCACAGUUUAUUGAAAAAAAAAACGCAUUGUUUUAACUUUUAAUACUGGCAGUGGUUGUUUAAUGGCAAUUUGGGAAAAGUUUGGGCUUUGGCCUUGUCUAUUGAAUCAGAUGGCUUUGACAAAAAAAAAAGCUUUCUUUAUUUCAGAAGAAGCUCAGCAGCUUUCUCCUCCAUCACCAAAACCCUAGCACACACCUCUCCUCCAAAGCACUCAGCCGCCGCCCUCUCCCAUGACUGUUUCCACCACCAAACGUCCUUUCUUCCUCUGAAUCAUACCAUCAUAGGUUCCACUCGUCCAAAACACCACCGCCACCACCUUCAACCUAAACCAGCUUCCAUUACCUCAUUCUCUCUCCCCCAACUCGCCCCAUCACCAUCACUCGUUCAUCACCUCAUCUUCCCGAUCUGAAGCCACCAACACCGCCACUCCUCUUCGAAGUCCAGAUCGUGCACUUGCACUUCCUCUAUUUCUUGAUUUUUUUUAAAACCGGUCCAACCGAAGCUCCGGGUCACCGAUUUUUAUACCGACCCGGUCGGUUUAAUGCAGUUCAAAACGAGCCGAUUGCAUGCCCGAUCCGUUGCUCGACUCGAACCGGUCAAGGGUCCGGUUUUCGGUUCAACCGGUCGAACCGUCCGGUUCGAGCCGAGUUUAAUAACACUGGGUGAGAUAUUUUGAUUUUUCUACUAUUUAUAGGAGAGUGAAAUCGCGGGAAAAUGAAUAUUUCGCGAUUCCGAUUUUUGCAACACGUUCAUCGGUGAAUUCUAAGCGAGAUUCUGGCGACAGAAUUCCAGAACUCACAACAGGUUUCUUGAAUUUGAGAAAAACGAUCCAAAAGCGGUGUAAGUUAAUUCGCCCUGAAAAACUACUUUUUGCUGUGAAAGUCGGAUGACAAAACUUCGUUAUGAAGAAAGAUUGGAAACGUCGAAAGAAAUCUGGCACGGGGAUGGAAACUUCGUUAAAAGCUCCAAAAGGAAAAAGUCUUCAUUCAGUGAUUGAACUUAGGGUUUUUAAAGCAAGGAAUUUAGCGUCGUCGGACUUCCGAGAAGUGAAUCCUAUCGUGCGUACAGUCUAGGGUUCCGAAAUGAAACACUGGUCGAAGGAAAAAUAAAGAGAACUUCUUAUUUUUCCAAGGAUUUGAAAUUUCGCUUAAACAUUGCUUUAAGAGCGGAAUUAGCCUAUUCUGGACACUCUCGCCAUAAGGCGGGUGUGCAGACGACUCGCACUAACUCCUAAAACAACUAUGGUACUAUCCUCAAGCAAUUCCUGAANNNNNNNNNNNNNNNNNNNNNNNNNNNNNNNNNNNNNNNNNNNNNNNNNNNNNNNNNNNNNNNNNNNNNNNNNNNNNNNNNNNNNNNNNNNNNNNNNNNNNNNNNNNNNNNNNNNNNNNNNNNNNNNNNNNNNNNNNNNNNNNNNNNNNNNNNNNNNNNNNNNNNNNNNNNNNNNNNNNNNNNNNNNNNNNNNNNNNNNNNNNNNNNNNNNNNNNNNNNNNNNNNNNNNNNNNNNNNNNNNNNNNNNNNNNNNNNNNNNNNNNNNNNNNNNNNNNNNNNNNNNNNNNNNNNNNNNNNNNNNNNNNNNNNNNNNNNNNNNNNNNNNNNNNNNNNNNNNNNNNNNNNNNNNNNNNNNNNNNNNNNNNNNNNNNNNNNNNNNNNNNNNNNNNNNNNNNNNNNNNNNNNNNNNNNNNNNNNNNNNNNNNNNNNNNNNNNNNNNNNNNNNNNNNNNNNNNNNNNNNNNNNNNNNNNNNNNNNNNNNNNNNNNNNNNNNNNNNNNNNNNNNNNNNNNNNNNNNNNNNNNNNNNNNNNNNNNNNNNNNNNNNNNNNNNNNNNNNNNNNNNNNNNNNNNNNNNNNNNNNNNNNNNNNNNNNNNNNNNNNNNNNNNNNNNNNNNNNNNNNNNNNNNNNNNNNNNNNNNNNNNNNNNNNNNNNNNNNNNNNNNNNNNNNNNNNNNNNNNNNNNNNNNNNNNNNNNNNNNNNNNNNNNNNNNNNNNNNNNNNNNNNNNNNNNNNNNNNNNNNNNNNNNNNNNNNNNNNNNNNNNNNNNNNNNNNNNNNNNNNNNNNNNNNNNNNNNNNNNNNNNNNNNNNNNNNNNNNNNNNNNNNNNNNNNNNNNNNNNNNNNNNNNNNNNNNNNNNNNNNNNNNNNNNNNNNNNNNNNNNNNNNNNNNNNNNNNNNNNNNNNNNNNNNNNNNNNNNNNNNNNNNNNNNNNNNNNNNNNNNNNNNNNNNNNNNNNNNNNNNNNNNNNNNNNNNNNNNNNNNNNNNNNNNNNNNNNNNNNNAAACGUCAUUUUUCCUAAGAGGGACUAAAAUCAUACUCGCAUACAAACUCAGGGACUAAUUUGACCAUUAAACCUAAAAAAAUUCACAUUAUAUAUAACUAUAUAGCUCAAGUGCUAAAUAACUUUUUAUCACCCUAAAGUUCUAGAAUCGAAUCCUCUCACAUUCAUUUAUACCCAUUUAUAGAUGGAUGCGAAGCUGACAAUUUGUGCAUGCAAUACAUGCGGGAGUUUAAUAUAUAGAAAAGUAAGGGAAUUGUUGUAGAUAUAAAGAAAAGAAUGACAGUGAAUUGAAUGUAUGGUGUUUCAAUUUAUUGGACGGGUUAAUGAUUCUAUAUGUCUAUGAACACUCUUUAAAAAACCAGCCAUAUCUAGCAAGUAGCAAAAUAUAUAUUUUAUAACAAGGAAAGCAUCUGCAGUGUAUUCUCUAUUGUAUACUAUUGUUUCCGUCGGACAUUGUUGACCAUUCUUAGAUCUGGUCAGUGAUUCCAGCUCACCACCGUGUGGGUGCAUCAUCGCACAUAGAUUAACAAUACUUGAUGGUGGUGCCAAAACUGCUCUGGUAGCAUUGUGUUCAACAUUUUUACAAUUAAAAAUGGUCAAGUUGUAGCUCCAAUCAAUGUACUCUUGUUUUAACCCGAGAAAGUUUAUUAACCACCGCUUACUGAUUUUGAUGCCAAUGAAGUUUAUAUACCACCGAUUACUGAUUUUGAUUGUCAAUGGAGUUUAUAAACCGCUGCUUACUCGAGGUGGAAAUAAUCUUAAUAAUUAUUCUUUUUAAAAUUAACCUAGAUAUAUUAAAAGCCGUUAAGCAAUGAAGCCAUUACAUUUGAGUUCACAUUUUUUUAUAGGCAAUUAAGAAUAUAUUGAAGAAAAGUACGAGAAGUACAAAAGUUGAGUUCACACUUGAAACCCGAACUAAAAGAACUUCCUCUACCCACAUUGACUCAUUAUAAGCGUUAGGGUUUCUAAAUAAAAACACGCCACAGAAUUAUCUUACUGUAUGUCACAAUAAAACGAAAACCAUUCGCAGUCUCAAAACUCACACGACAAAACCCCAAUUCAACAACGAGAGAUAUCGUCCACCUCAUACUCAAAACCUCUCUACAAGUAAAGGUGUCGAAGUCGCAGAUGCCAUUACAUUCACACGAGCAUUGUGUGCCACCACCCCAUACUUGCGUCGCUGGUGGAGCAAAAAGGAAGCGUCAAAAAUAAUUUUUUUUUUGAUAGGAAAAUUGUAGUUGUAGUAAUGUCAGGAAAUUAAUUUCUCCUCAGGGUUCGAAUCCUGCCCACCCAAUUCUUAUGUUCCCUAACUCUUACUACUUGAGUUAACCCUCGAGAACGCGUCAAAAUUGAACUUGAUGGUCCCUUCCGCUGGUGGUUGCCAUUAAUACACGUCUAACAUUAAAAUUGGCCAGCAGUAAAAUAAUUACUCCCUCUGUUCCUUUUUAUAAAAGCCAAAUUAAAAUGCAUCUUGGUUCUUAGGGGCAGGGGCGGACCCACAUAGGGCCCGGGGGUUCAGUUGAACCCCCUGAAAAAAAAAAAAUCAACCUACCCCUCUAAUAGUAUUUUUUGAACCCCCUGAAAAUUUAAUAUUGCACCCUAGACCCCAACUCCUCUCUCUCACACUAUAGUCACUAGUCAGAUCUCUCUCCUCUAACAAUCACCAUGCACGCACUUUGCCCUCACGCUCUCAUUCUCUGAUUUCCCAAGCACCACCACCGCCCACCACCACGCCGGCCGCCGCCGCACCACCACGUGCCACUCUCCAGUCGUGCGCCCCUGCUUUGGCUGUGCCUCUGCGGUUCUAAUUUCUACAGGUAUGGGCAUGGCUGAUUUUUUUCCUAACCCUAAUUUAUGUUUUUCCCCUAAUUUAUAAAUGUUAUAAUCUUCAAAUUCUUCUCACUGCAUCUGUUAGUAUCUUCUCCCACCACCACGCCGGCCGCCGCCGCACCACCACGUGCCACUCUCCAGUCGUGCGCCCCUGCUUUGGCUGUGCCUCUGCGGUUCUAAUUUCUACAGGUAUGGGCAUGGCUGAUUUUUUUCCUAACCCUAAUUUAUGUUUUUCCCCUAAUUUAUAAAUGUUAUAAUCUUCAAAUUCUUCUCACUGCAUCUGUUAGUAUCUUCUAAUUCUUCUAAUUUAUGUUUUUCCUAACCAUAAUUUCUGAUUCUUCCCUAUGUAACAUACUUGUUUUUUCCCUGGUAGUGCAUAUUGUGCUUCUGUUUUAUUCUCUCACUGCAUAAUUUCAAAAUCCCAGAUUCAUAAUCAUAGGUAUACUGGUAUGGUAUUGUGCAUUUGUGCUUUAUGUUUUUACUUUUAGUACCGGUACCGUGUUUCUUUUUUUGUUCAAUUUCUUCUUGGUUUAAGAUUGUCUUGGCAUGCUUGUGUUCUGUUUUUUGUUUUUUCAUGUGAGUCAUGUGUUUAGAAAUUGGAAUGAGUUUCUCCGUGUUAUUGCUCAUUGAUGAAUUGGGUAAAUAUUAAUUUGGUCUGUUAUGCUUUCAUAUCCUGGACUAGCGAUGAAUUGGGUAAAUAAUUGAGGAUUGAUCUGUUAUGGAAAAUAUUAGUAAUCUGGUCUUCCAGUGUAGCAAAUCCAUGUUAUUUUGUCUGUUUGCUUUGAGCAUAGUAAAGCAUUAUAUAGCCAUAAUUUGGUCUUCCAGGUAUGGCUGAUUACCAUAACCCUAAAUGGUUAAAGUGAUUUCCUUUCUCUUCUCCUCCCUCAAGCUUGAUUUCAUCUCAAGCUUAAUUUCCCUAAAUUGAUUUUCUCAAAUGUCAUAAUAGGUUUUCUAUAAUCACAGGUUUUAGAUGUUCUCAGUUUAUGAGGCAAAUGGAGUUUUAGUAAAGUUAUGUUCUUUGCAAAUAAAUUUUGAAAUUUUUGCUAUAAUCAUACACUAUAAUCAUAUUUGUGUAUUCCAAUACUGACAACAUAGUUCUGAUGCAUACUUAUUGUCUGAUGCAUACUUAUUUCAAUACUGACAACAUAGUUCAGAUUGAGCUGCUUCAAUCUUGAAAAAUUUGAACCCCUGAUCUCGGGGUCCUGGAUCCGCCACUGCUUAGGGGAUGUGCAUUGGUGAUUUGGUUCUUAGAGCAUUUCCAAUGCAAGUUUCUUAGUUCUUAUUUCUGAGCUAGGAACUGAGAAUUUAGUUCUUAACUUUUAGAGGAGGCUGACGUUGAGUUCUUAGUUCUUAAAAAUAAGAACUACUUCUUAUAUAAAGAGUUUUACUUUUUGAGUUCUUAACAUAAAAAAUUAUUUUUUUCUCUCCCAUUCAUCAACUGAUAUAAUUUAAGUAUUGAAUUAGCAUUUUAAUUUAAAUCAAAAUCAUAUGAAAAUAAAAAAUAUUAAUAAUAUAAUGAUAUUGUGAGACCUGAUGAAUAGUGCUAAGAACUAAUAACUAAGAACUCAUGGUUGAAGCAAAAUCUCAAAAAAAAAAUGGCUUAAUUGCAUUUUUGAUCCCCCACGAAUGAUAAAUGUGCAUUUUUUGUCCUAAACGUUUGAAAAUAGCAGAAUCAGUCCCACACGUUUGACUCCGUUAGCGUUUUUGGUCCCCUCCGCUAAAAUUCUAACAGAAGUUACUUAUUGCACCCCAUUUUACUAUUUUCACCCCUCACUGGGACUAUAAAUGCACAUUUAUCAUUCGUGGGGGACCAAAAAUGCAAUUAAGCCUAAAAAAUAAAAAAACCAAGAAACCCACCAACCACUUCUUCUUCUCCAUCAAGUUCUUAUGAUUAGAGAAAUAUUUCCAUUUAAUGAUCCACAAUUGCUUCCACUUCUUGUUGGUAUCAUUGUAUUAAAUUAAAAUUAUUGUACAUGUUUACAGUAUUUGCAUGGGAAUCACCAUGAAAAGGGGCUAGCUCCUAGCAAAAAUAUUUCAUUUUCCACAUCUUUUAUCCAUUCACACACAUGGUUGCAAGUCUUUAUUGCCAGGGCCUACAAGUACUCAUCAUGCACAAACAUGUGAGAUACGAGUGUUUCAAACUUAUACUUAUUUUUUCUUACAGGUUCUCAUUGGAAGUUAAUGAUGAACCUAUACUUGGGUAUGGACAUAUAACAUAGCAUAAGGAGAGAUGGGAAUUGGGAGAAGAAGAAUAAGAAGAAGUGGUUGAUGGGUUUCUUGGUUUUUUUAUUUUUUAAAAUUAAUUGCACUUUUGGUCACCACAAAUGAUAAAUGUGCAUUUUUGGUCCUAGUGACGAGUGAGAAUAGUAAAAUGGGGGUGCAAUAAGUAACUUCUGUUAGAAUUUUAACGGAGAGACCAAAAAUGCUAACGGAGACAAACGUGUGGGACUAAUUCUGCUAUUUUCAAACGUUUAUGACAAAAAAUGCACAUUUGUUAUUCGUGGGGGACCAAAAGUGCAAUUAAGCCAAAAAAAUUUUGAUAAAACACAUAUUACAGUACAAGUACACAUGUAUAGUGAUAAGAACUAAGAAGAAAAAAACAUAGGCAAUAGAAUGAAUGUCCUAAAAACCUCCGCAAAUCUAGCUAAGUUUAGGACAAAUUCAAACCUACAUUAAUUGUCAAGCCUCCAUACAGGAAUUUAAAUGCAAUUUAUCAUCAAUGAAAAUCAAAUCACACUGAUUAAUUAAUCAAAGUGUACCGAUGAAUUUAAUAGCCCUUAUCCUCAACGAAAAUCAAAUCAAAAAGUACAACACAAAUUAAUUAUUCAAAGAGCAUAUAUUCAUCCAUAAACCCUUGGCCCGUUUACACCGUGGAGGUGAAGUUGAAGUUGGCACAUGUGGUUUGCCUUCCAUAGAGCAAAGAGCUGAACCCCAAUCUAGACGCAGCCAAAUCAAACUGCACCAGAUUAUUCUCCAGCUGAUACCCACCAAUCACAAUCGAAGUCCUCGCAUUCUUCCCACCGUUCACAAACCCACGACACAAAACACUACCAUCNNNNNNNNNNNNNNNNNNNNNNNNNNNNNNNNNNNNNNNNNNNNNNNNNNNNNNNNNNNNNNNNNNNNCCGCCACCCUCUUAAUGUUCCUAGCCACAGACGCGUUGAUAAACGCCUUCGUAACCGCCUUGAAAAUAGAAUCCUCGAGAACCGUGUAAGGAUUCACCGUGCUGAUCUUGGUUCCACCAACGCUGUUAUUGUCAAUGGCUAACAAACUCGAUUUAACGGUAACCGUUUUUCCAUCAAUCACGAUUGAUUUCACGCCGAUGAAAUACUCGGCGGAGGAGGUGCUCACCGAGUUGGUUAGCAGCGGCGUGAACGAGAGGCCUUUAGAGGCGUCGACGUUGGGGAGGAGAACAUAAGGCCCGUCCCCGAAGAAAACUACGCCGGUUGAUGAAGAUAAGCAGAUUGCGAACUUGCGGUGGAAGCUGAAUGCGGAGGAGAAUUGCGACGGCAGCGCGAUUUUCGUCCGGCCGAGGCCGGCCAUGCCAGAGGUGCCUUUAGCGAGGCCCUUGGGUAAGAAGGGGUGUGAGGCCGUUGGUGGACUGGAUUGAGAGAGUAUCUUGGGCGACCUCGCCGAUGGUGGAGUGUUCGGUGACGGUGUUGCCCGGGAGGAGGCUGCAGGUGUUGUUGUUGCAGCCAGGCUUGGGGGAUGAGAAGCAGGUCCCGCAGCCGAUGGAUUUGGCCAGGGAGCACUGAGUGGAUUUGCAGCGUGCUGGGCGGUAGGUUGAGGAGGUGUAGUUGGUAUCACAGUCGACCCACAAGAAAUUGCCUCCGAGAUCGACGACAAGUUUUACUGGAACUUGUGGGGUUCUUUGGUUGAUUUUAGUGAGGUAUUGGAGUGUGGAGGCAUCUUUUGUGACUGGCACAACAAGGGCUUUGGGCCUGAAAGAUGUUUUGGCCUGAGUAAGUAAUCCAGUAGUAGAGAAUAGGAAGAAGAGGGUAAAGAUGAAUAGAUUUUGAUAAUUGGAAUAUUUGUUAGCCAUGCCCAUGGCUGUGUGUGUGACUGUAUAUGGAAAUUAAUCUGAAGUUGGAAAUGAUAGUGAAGUGGCAGAGAGACCUAUAUUUAUAGGUGGAAUUAGAGUGCCAGUGUUGUUUGUUUAUUUGUAGGAAAAUGAAGUGGAGCGGUACCGCAAAGACAACUCACAUGUGAACCUCGUCAAGUAGCUCGAUGCAUGUUACUGGAUGUUGCUGGGAGUUGGGUUUAGCACCCCACCUAUUGGGCUUGGCACCCCACUUUAUCAAAUACGGAAUUUAAAGUUCCGUAUUCUUCAUAUUGAAUACGGAACGACGGUGAUAUUAAAAUAGAUACGGAAUUUUAUUUUCCGUAUUGAUACGAAACUUUAAAUUCCGUAUUUAAUAAAGUGGGGUGCAAAGCCUAAGGGGUGGGGCUCCAAACCCAAUUCCCGAUGUUGCUUCCUAGUUCUAUUAUUUAAUUGGUCAUGAUGACAUUAGUUUCUUGUUUUUGACUUAACAUUUACCUGUCAGCCGCGUCGUGCUUUUAUGUAGUAAACUUGAACUCCUAAUAAUAACGGGUUAUAUGACUCAUCAAAAAACUAUAGGUUAUAUAAUUUAUGGUGUGAACCAAUCACAUUUAAGAUAAGUAAAAUCUAAUAUUUAUAUAUUUUUUAUUAAUUUAUUUAUAAAUAAUCUUAUAAAUAUGGAGGGCUAACAACUCCCCAUAAUGUAAGAGAAUAAAAAACCACGAACACGAACCCAUAUGUUAUUCAGCUCUUACCACUUAAAAAAGCUAUCAUUCGAGACAUUUAAGUGAAUUUUGAAAAGAGAGUGUUAAUAACAUUUUUCUAUAUAUAUAAAAAAAAUACCAAGAAAAAUAAUAAGAUAAUGCUUCACAGCGGUUUAAGGAAAAUAUAUAUGUAUGAUGUGUUGGAAAAACUCAGACAAAGGAGAUUCUAAAGGUAAAAGCAAUCUUACUAUAUCUUCUUGAACAGCUUGAUCUAGCUGUCCUCUAUGAUUAAAAAUUUUCCUUUUCGAGCUUUGGAUUUAAACAACUUUGGUUUCAAAAGCAGUUCCUUUCCAUUGGCGUUUAUAAACUUGAUAUUCAUCAGCCUUCUUAUUUAUUCAUGUGAUUUCAUCCAUAAUAGUUCUUUCUAAUUGACUCUGCAGGUACAACCAAUCUAAAAGAGAUCCCUGGUGUUAUUGUUCUGUAUAUCACAAAGGAAAUAAUGAAAUCACGUGGUCAAAUUAUAAGGGUUAAUUGGACUAAUCUUACUGGAGAAUUUCCAACCAUACUAUAGAAUAAUACAUAAGACUAAAAUCAAUAUCAAGAUCCCAUGAGGAGGCACAUAUUAAAAUUGAAGUCUGAAUCUACUUGAAAAAAUAUACCAAAUUAAUAAACUUAAACUCUUAUUAAAGAAUCAUUCAAUUGAUGGGGCAGUCAGUCCCUGCCUCAUACUCAUUAAUAUUAAUUUGAAGCAUAACAAAGAGAUACUACAAGUUCAAUUAAUGAACAACUUGGGUGGUAAAACUGUGUCAAUAGCCCUAAUCAAAUGAUUUCUCGUGGGAACAGAACAGAAGAGAAAAAAAGUUAAAAUGAAAACUAAGGACAAUAGCCUUCUAUUUCACCACCAGAGUCCUAAGCAAAUGAUUUUCUAGUUUUAAAUGGAGAACCCCAUGAGUACCCAAGUCUUUUAGAGUACUAAUAAAGAAGUACCACAUUUGAAUAUUUGAUGCAUGACAACUAUAGAAUCACUUAAAGCUAUUAAAAACACAGACAUUGGAACUGACUUAUUUCUUUGGUCUUUUAGAGAAAUAUGUCUAAAUUAAAGAUCAAUUCUUUGCAAGCAAGAGAGCAUGAUUGGUUAUCAACUUUGCAAUGCAGUCUGAUUGACAGAAAAAAGUUCAAAACUUUUGCCAUCCCUUUUAAACAACUUUAUGAUGAAAAUAAUGUUUUUUUGAAAGCAGAAUUUGACAUUGAUGAAAUCAAAGCGGCUGUAUGGGAGUGUGAAGGUAAUAAAAGUCCGGGACCGGACGGAUAUAAUUUUAGUUUCAUCAAGGAAUUUUAGGAGGUUCUGAAGGAGGAUGUGAAGCGAAUGCUAGACGAUUUUAACCUACAUGAGAAAUGGCCUAGAGGAACUAAUAGAUCUUUUAUCACACUAAUUCCUAAAUGUGACUCUCCCCAAGGCUGAGUGACUUUAGGCCUAUUUCUUUGAUCGGUUGUGCCUAUAAGAUUGUAUCUAAAAUUCUUGUUGCUAGAAUGAAACAUGUGUUGCCUAAGGUGAUUGAUGAAAAUCAAUUUGCCUUUCUUGGUGGUAGGGGGAUGCUGGAUAGUGUGGUAAUUGCUAGUGAGGUGAUUCAUGAAGCAAAGAGUUCUAAUCUUCCUUCCAUUGUUUUUAAGGUAGAUUUUGAAAAAGCAUAUGACUCCAUUAGGUGGAAAUUCUUGUUCUAUAUGCUGAGAAGACUUAACUUGGGGGAAAAAUGAGUGAGAUGGAUUAUUGGCUGCCUGGAAUCAACUCAUGUAUCUGUACUUGUUAAUGGGAGUCCUACCAGUGAAUUUAGAAUGGAGAAGGGUAUCCGGAAAGGGGACCCCCUUGCUCCCUUUUUGUUCCUUGUUGUUGCAGAGGGUUUGAAUGGACUCCUUAAACAGGCUGUGGCAACUAAUAAUUUUCGACCGUUCAAGGUUGGGAAAGAUACAAGUGUUGAUGUGGCGCUUCUCCAGUUUGCUGAUGAUGCCCUUUUUGUUGGUGAGGCCUCAAUACAUAAUUUAUUAACUCUGAAGUGUAUUAUGCGCUGCUUUGAGUUGGUAUCUGCCAUGAAAGUGAACUUCCAUAAGAGUAAACUUGCAUGUAUCUCUAUUCCAACUUCAGUAACAAAUCGCUUUGCUGCACUUCUGAAUUGUAGAGUGAUGGAGGUUCCAUUUAUUUAUCUUGUUCUUCCCGUGGGAGCAAAUCCAAGAAGGCUAUCUACUUGGGAUCCAGUGGUGAGCAAGAUCAAAGGUAGGCUUUCUAGAUGGAAGAGUAAGACUAUUUCUUUGGGAGGGAGAAUCUGUCUUGUAAAUAGUGUGUUAUCUGCACUCCCCUUAUAUUAUAUCUCCUUCUUUAAAAUGCCCAAAGGGGUAAUUAAGAAGUGUCAACAAUUAAUGUUGAGAUUUCUUUGGGGUGGGUCUGAGGAGGAUAAGAAAAUUGUGUGGGUUGGAUGGGAUCGAAUUUGCAAACCAAAAUCUGAAGGAGGCCUUAGGGUGAGAGAUUUGGGGAGCUUUAACACUUCCCUCUUGGGAAAAUGGAGAUGGCGUCUCCUCCAUGAGAAGGAGAGGUUGAGGUGUCGGGUCCUUUUGGCGAAAUAUGGCGAUAACCUAUCUAAAAAGGGGGGUUCCGUUUGGGGGAAGGACCUUCUUUUGUCAUCUGUAGGGGCUGAAGCUGGUUUUUGGUUUGAGAAUGGGUUGUGCAGAAGGCUUGGGGAUGGGAAUGAUACAUUCUUUUGGUUUGAGGACUCGCAUGGGAAGGGUAAAUUCAUGGAAACAUUUCCAGGACUGUACCAUAUUUCAGAACAGAAAAAUAAAAAACUUGCGGAAAUGGGAUUCUGGACAGAUGCUAAGUGGACUUGGGAUCUUCACUGGUCUACUCUGGUGGAAGGGGAUAAUGUGCAGCAGCUUGGUUUCUUAGCACAAAUAAUUUCCUCUUUCACACUGUUAAGGGGUAAAAAAGAUUCAUGGGUUUGGAUCAAGGAAGGUGAUGGGCGAUUCUCAGUCAAAUCUGCUUAUGAGACUAUUGCGGGGUCUAAUCCGGAGAUGGAUAGUUAUAUAUUUCAAUCGCUGUGGAGAGCUUGGGCACCUUCUAACGCUGCUGCAUUGGGUUGGAGAGUCCUUAUUAAUCGCAUUCAGACAAAAGAAAACCUAAUUCGUCGUAAUAUCCCAAUUACGAACUCUUCUUGUCCAUGGUGUGGUUUGGUUGAAGAGACCACCUUCCAUUUGUUGUUUCAAUGUUCAUUUGCCUGGAAAGUUUGGUCCCUGGUCAUGAAGUGGAUUGGGAUUUGCUUGGUGCUGCCUGGAGAUACCUUGUGUCACUUUAAUCAAUUUGUAUCUUGCUGGACCCUGGCUAAAAAGAAGGGCAUGGCUGAGGUGGUGUGGCAUUUGAGGAUUGGGAGAAAUGCAGUGGUUUUUAGGGGAGAAAACUUGGAGGCUGAGAAUAUUUUUGAAGCUGCAAAAUCAAAAGCAUGGAAUUGGCUAAGAGCUCGUAGCAGGAACUUUCAUCAUUCUAUUUUUGAGUGGUUUAAUGAACCACUGGUUUGCUUGUGUGAUAUCUGAUGAGAUUUGUGUUGAAGUGCUAAAUUGUUAGGCUGGCUCAUUUCUAUUCUGUUUUGUCAAAGGGGAGGAAGGCUCAUAAAAUACAGCCUGCUUGUGUGUCCUUUUUUUCAAAUCAGUAAUGCAAUACAAUUGAAUUCUGCAUGUUGAAGUUCAUUUAAAGGGCAUUGCUAGGUGGAACAUCAAUUCUGAUGGAGCUUGCAGGUGGAGGUCAUUUCAUUUUGGAAAAUUGGCUCUCUAUGGCAAUAUAGAAUGGUAAUAUAGAUUGGCUGCUGUGUAGAUUGGUUCUUGGGCUUGGUGGUUUUCUGAGUUUGGGGUUAAUUUGAUUCUUUGUAAUUAUCCUUGGAAAAUUCCUCUUGGCUUUAUAAAUUGGUAUUCUUUUUCCUUUCUAAGUUUUCCCAAGGGAGUUUUCUCCUAUUAAGGUUUUAAUGAGGCCUUUUCUAUAUUGUCUUUUUCUAAGGGGGUAUUGGGUAGGUUAGUUUUGGCAGUAGUAGGUUUGCUUUGUAUUGACUUCUUUUCAAUCUUUUUUCCUCCAUCAUCUCUUACUUGUAUUGUGAUUGAAGUACCCCUUGUACUUCUUUUCAAUAUAAUUCAUAUUGCUUAUAAAAAAAACAACUUUUGCUGACAUUCUAGAAUAUUCUCUUGUUUGUGAAGCACAUUUAGAUUUCUGCCACUUCACUGACUACCCUUAGUUUAAGGGAUCUAGCCAACUAGAAUAAAUUCUAACAGAUCAUGAUGAAGAAAUUCAGAGAAAAUUGAGUUGGUGCCUGGGGGGUGUGAAGACAGGAGCCUCACAUUUAAACUCAAAUUAGUCCCUUGCAAAGUCUCACCAGGACUUGAUGAGACAUGUGCAUGAUCUUGUUGUGGUUAACACUGUUAAAAGUUCAAUAGGGAUUUGUGGUGCUUGGGUUUUGUGGACGGUGGAAUCGACAAGAAAACGACGAUCACAAUUGGAGGGAAGCAGCUUGAAGAUAAUGUAGUUGUUUGGAGUCACAAUUUCCCUCUUAUCUCACUCGCUCUCUUGUCCUGAUGUCCAUGCCCACUGUUUUCCUCCUCGUCACAAGAAAUAGAAUCAGGAAUGAGAAACUGAAAAAUCAAUGACACCCGCUGAGGUGUGAGAACUGUACAUGUGUAAUUAGUUCACUCUUAGAAAAAAAUAUCGUUUGGUUUUAAGAAUUCCAUCAAUUCUAUAGAGCAGUUGAAGUAGUAUAUGAUUGAUCUCUCUUUUCUUUUUCAGAAUGUGGACAUUCCAAAUGUGAAAUCUAAUUGAUGUUUUUGUAAAAUUUAUAUAUGCUGUCAUCGUAUAGUUAAAAAGUAUUAAUUUAUAUAUAUCAUGAUAAGAUUGAGACUUGAGAGCAGAAUUCUGGUAUCCAAAACCAAUUUCCACUACAGAGCAACAACGAGCAUACAAUGACGAUGCUUCAGGAGCCUCCCGAACCAGAUGGCGAACCAAUAUGAGACACAAGAGAGGGGACCCAGCUCGCAAAUGCCAAAUUCUGAGAGCUUCAGGACAACCUCUGAAAAUAUGAUCAAUGUCUUCUUGGUCAGAAUUACAGCGAGUGCAAGAAGCACUCAAUGCCAAGUGACAAUGAUGUCUCAUUGCAUUCAUAGGAAAGCUUCCAGUACCAAGUAACAAAAGAAAAAAUCUAAUCUUCUCCAGAACCUUACAUUUCCAAAUCAUCUGCCAACUGCCUAAAUUAUAUCGACCAGGCCAAGAAAUGAUAAGCUGAGGAUGUCGUGUAUUAUGGGAUGGUUGCCAGCAAAUAACAUCACGUUACAAAGUACUCAUAGGUAGCUGAAGCAUUGUUAUUUCAGGGAAAAUAUCUUGAGGCAGAAUGGUACAACAAAACAUGUUAUUUUCCUUCCUGAUUUCCCUUCGUUUGAUCCUUCCUCUACUUUUCGUUUUGGCUUGUCUCGGAAUCUUGGCGUCGAUCUUCGUUUCUCCUUCUUUGUAGCAGCGGUCAUCUGCGCCAUCCUCUUUCCAUGUCCACCAUAUUUCAACCUUCUUUCGGGUCGGUGCUCUAAGAUUUGAGGUUGUUUCACCGUUGAAGUGAGUUGUGGCAGGGAGUGAGAUGCUGGGAUUUGACCAGGCCUCCUCGCCAACAAGUCUCGCCACUUGGGAUUCAGGGCCAAGCAAGUUUUGUGGUAAACCAUGUUCGUGCUCGAAGGGGUGGAAGGAAGAGGUCAGUUCCCUGAGGUAAUGGUUAUGGUUUACAAACCAAGGAGUUACACAAUUGAAAUUUCAGCGUGGCUUGAAGGGGGGUCUCAAGGCUUAUGAGAUCAUUUUGCAGGAUGCACACGGCUAUAAGAAAUGAUCUAAGGACCAAUUGGUUGUGCAAUCCAAUUCUUAAGCAUAAGGAGUUGACCGAGAAGACUUCUUCUUGGAAACUAAGCAAGGGUUUGGUAAGAAAAGGACAUAGCACGUCCAUCCCGCAGGGCAACCUGGAAGAAACACAAUGUUGUUCGUCUUUGUAGCUACUGUUGAUUAUACUUUUGCUAUCGUGUGGGGCUUCUUUUCUCGAGUUGGUUUGGUGUUAGGUGGGUUUUGGAGUUUUCGAGCUUUUGCUCUAAGGUGUUUGGUAGGGGUGGUUUUCGGGUACGCUGGUUGUGGUUGGGCUCGUGUCGGUGGAAGCUGGUGGGGUGUGGGGUGGUGUGGUGUGGCCGGUUGGAUCUUGUGUAGUUGUUGGUUGUCGGUCCUAGUUAUGUGUAGUUCAUUGUUUUUACGAUCACCCUCCGGCUUCGACGUCUUGGUUUCUAUACGGUUUUGGAUGGGUGAUCGUCUGUUGUGCUGCUGCUACGGGUCUGGAGGCUAUUUUUGGAGCCUAUGCAAGCAUUGUUAUCUUUUAUGUUUGUUUCUUAUCUUGGUUUUUAGGUAUCAUCUCUAUAGCGUUUUUUGGUUUUACCUGUUGGGGUUUUUGGUCUGCUCUUUUAGUUUGAUCUAUAUUGCAGGUAUCGAGCGACUUGUUUUCCUUCAUUUGUAUUUGUCGCUGCUUUUCGAAUUUCAUGGAGAUCUUUCUAGAGGAGCAAUGUGUGGGCGUUUUACUAGGCUUUUAGCAUGCUCUUGUGCGUGUGGGUUUUUUUCAAUUUGAGCUGAGUUUUGAUGACUAGGUUAUUGUACCCUUGUUGACAUGAGUUGUUUCUCAACAUUUCUUUUAUAUUUAUAUAUCUGUUUCUAUAUAAAUGUCCACUUAGAGUUUCAAGAGAGCAUUAAUUGAUGUUUUUCCAAGAAAUAGCCUUACAGAAACAAUAAAUGAAGAAAGACAAAAUACAUUCUAAAUGGUGAUGAAAUAGGAAAACAAAUAAUACCUUUACGAAAAUUAACACAAUUGAUUGCUUUCCUUAAUUUUUGUGAACCUUCUCUUCCUGAACAGAUACAUAGAAACUGGGGUAGUAGCAAUUAAUGUUCUUGUUUUAUUAAAAUUACUAUCUGACUUCCUAUAAUGCCCUUUAUCUCUCUUAUUAUUUCUAAUAUCUCAAUUUUCCUCCCACCAAUAAAUGAAGGGUACAGUUGAUAAAAUAUAAUUAAUGCUCUUUUGAAAUUAUAAAAGUAUCAGAUAAAUAGAAACAAAAAAGAAAUCAAAAUAGUAUCAGUUGAUAGUGUGUUUUUUUACUUUAAAAAAAUAAGAAUAUCAAUAAUAAUAACGGGUUGGCUAAAUGACUAGUGAAAAUUAGUUAACCACACCUUAAUGGACGAAUAAACUUAAUAAAAUACGUCUAACAUUAAAAUUGGCUAACACACCGAAAAUCUAGCUAUGUUUAGGACAAAUUAUUCAAAAUUACAUUAAUUGUCAAGCCUCCAGACAUGAAUUUAAUUACAAUUUAUCAUCACUGAGAAUCAAAUCACACUAAUUAAUUAAUCAAAGUGCAUACAUGAAUUUAAUACCCAUUUAUUAUUUAUUAUUAACGAAAAUAAAAUCAAUGGUAGUAUUACAACACAAAUUAAUUAUUCAAAGUGCAUCCAUAAAUGGAUAGUAGAUUAACCACGCCAAGCAAUCUUGGCAAAGGCACGAUUAUGCGGUGGAGGUGAAGUUGAAGUUGGCACACGUGGUUUGCCUUCCGUAGAGCAAAGAACUGAACCCCAAUCUGGACGAAGCCAAAUCAAACUGCACCAGAUUAUUCUCCAGCUGAUACCCACCAAUCACAAUCGAAGUCCUCGCAUUCUUCCCACCGUUCACAAACCCAAGACACAAAACACUACCAUCAUUAUGCACAUCUACCACCGAGUUCGCUCCAAAAACAUACCACGUCACACCAUUCUGCAUCACAAACUCCACCGUAGGCACCGCCGCACCCAACCGCGUACUCCCCACGCCCCUACCGCUGACGCAAUCGCCUUGAAAAGAGAGUCCUCGAGAACCGUGUAAGGGUCCACCGUGCUUACCUUGGUCCCACCAAGGCCGUUACUAUUGAUGUCUAACAAACUCGAGUUAACGGUAACCGGUUUUUCGUCAAUCACUAUUGAUUUCACGCCGAUGAAAUACUCGGCGGAGGGCUCGCCUUGUGAGAACGCGGAGGAGGUGCUCACCGGGUUGGAGGCGUCGACGUUGGGGAGGAGAACGUAAGGUCCGUCUCCGAAGAUAACAACGCCGGUUGAAGAAGAUAAGCAGAUCGCGAAUUUCCGGUGGAAGCUGAAUGCGGAGGAGAAUUGCGACGGCAGCGCGAUUUUCGUCCGGCCGAGGCCGGCCAUGCCAGAAACACCUUUUUUGAGUCCUUUUAGUAAAGCGAUUCGGCCGGGUGUGAGGCCGUUGGUGGACUGGAUUGAGAGAGUGUCUUGGGCGAGCUCGCCGCUGGUAGCGGUUCCGGUGAUGGUGUCGUCCGGGAUGAGGCCACAAGUGUUGUUGUGGCAGCCGGGCUUGGGGGAUGAAAAGCAAUCGCCGCAGCUGCUGGAUCCGGCCAGGGAGCACUGGGCGGAUUUGCAGCGUGCUGGGCGGUAGGUUGAGGAGGUGUAGUUGGUUUCACAGUCGACCCACAAGAAGUUGCCGCCGAGAUCGACGACAAGUUUUACUGGGACUUGGGGUGUUCUUUGGUUGAUUUGGGUGAGGUAUUGGAGAGUGGAGGCAUCUUUUGUGACUGGGAUAACAAGGGCUUUGGGCCUGAAAGAUGUUUGGGCCAGAGAAGGUGCAGUGAUAGAGAAUAGGAGGAGGAGAGUGAUGAAGAGAUUUUGAUAAAUUGAGCUAUUAGCCAUGGUUGUGAGGUAGGUAGAUUGUGAUAUGGAAAUGAGAAAUGGAGGCAUUAUGCAUCUCUA